GUCGCAAGACCAAAGUGGGGGACCUUCGGGCCUCAUGCCAUCAGAUGUGCCCAGAUGGGAUUAGCUAGUAGGUGGGGUAACGGCUCACCUAGGCGACGAUCCCUAGCUGGUCUGAGAGGAUGACCAGCCACACUGGAACUGAGACACGGUCCAGACUCCUACGGGAGGCAGCAGUGGGGAAUAUUGCACAAUGGGCGCAAGCCUGAUGCAGCCAUGCCGCGUGUGUGAAGAAGGCCUUCGGGUUGUAAAGCACUUUCAGCGGGGAGGAAGGCGGUGAGGUUAAUAACCUCAUCGAUUGACGUUACCCGCAGAAGAAGCACCGGCUAACUCCGUGCCAGCAGCCGCGGUAAUACGGAGGGUGCAAGCGUUAAUCGGAAUUACUGGGCGUAAAGCGCACGCAGGCGGUCUGUCAAGUCGGAUGUGAAAUCCCCGGGCUCAACCUGGGAACUGCAUUCGAAACUGGCAGGCUAGAGUCUUGUAGAGGGGGGUAGAAUUCCAGGUGUAGCGGUGAAAUGCGUAGAGAUCUGGAGGAAUACCGGUGGCGAAGGCGGCCCCCUGGACAAAGACUGACGCUCAGGUGCGAAAGCGUGGGGAGCAAACAGGAUUAGAUACCCUGGUAGUCCACGCCGUAAACGAUGUCGAUUUGGAGGUUGUGCCCUUGAGGCGUGGCUUCCGGAGCUAACGCGUUAAAUCGACCGCCUGGGGAGUACGGCCGCAAGGUUAAAACUCAAAUGAAUUGACGGGGGCCCGCACAAGCGGUGGAGCAUGUGGUUUAAUUCGAUGCAACGCGAAGAACCUUACCUGGUCUUGACAUCCACAGAACUUUCCAGAGAUGGAUUGGUGCCUUCGGGAACUGUGAGACAGGUGCUGCAUGGCUGUCGUCAGCUCGUGUUGUGAAAUGUUGGGUUAAGUCCCGCAACGAGCGCAACCCUUAUCCUUUGUUGCCAGCGGUUCGGCCGGGAACUCAAAGGAGACUGCCAGUGAUAAACUGGAGGAAGGUGGGGAUGACGUCAAGUCAUCAUGGCCCUUACGACCAGGGCUACACACGUGCUACAAUGGCAUAUACAAAGAGAAGCGACCUCGCGAGAGCAAGCGGACCUCAUAAAGUAUGUCGUAGUCCGGAUUGGAGUCUGCAACUCGACUCCAUGAAGUCGGAAUCGCUAGUAAUCGUAGAUCAGAAUGCUACGGUGAAUACGUUCCCGGGCCUUGUACACACCGCCCGUCACACCAUGGGAGUGGGUUGCAAAAGAAGUAGGUAGCUUAACCUUCGGGAGGGCGCUUACCACUUUGUGAUUCAUGACUGGGGUGAAGUCGUAACAAGGUAACCGUAGGGGAACCUGCGGUUGGAUCACCUCCUUA
rnacentral:rRNA from 1 species